ensembl:lncRNA
UCCAUGCAGAUGGAGUUUGCUGCCUCGCUUCUUUCCUCCCGUGUGUCAGAACCUCAGAUUCAGUUGAACGUUGGGUGUGCUUUGGGUUUUGCUGAGCAUUUGAGGGAUGGUCUUCACGAUGUCUCCAGGUAGCACUUCAGACCCUUUGCAUCGAUGUACCUGAUAGACUGGAAUGCUCUGCGUGCAGAGGGAAGGCUUGGGGCAGGUGGUGGUUCUCAGCAGUGCGUGGUUUGCUCGUCAGGCAGCUGUGGUGAUGGAGAAAGGCCCAUAGGGGACAACUGGAGGGGCUCCUUGGCUGGUGGGCAGCGUGGGGUCCCCCUGCGUGGCAGGAUCCAGCCCUGACCGCAUGGAGAUGCUCUGCAAUGAGCAGAUGCCUUUCCUCACUGCUCUAUGAACCAAGGGGGAAAAGAAAGAACGUGGGAACCUUUAGGCACUCCCAUCACUAACGGGGCUGAACGAGUCGAACAAACGAGGGCUUUAUUUAUUGUGAGGUUUUUAGUUGUAGCCUUUUUCGCUGGCUUCGCUGGCAGCCAUGGGGCCAUGGCUGGAGGUGCUGAGCUCUGAUGGGCCGUGCUGAGCUUUGGGUCUGAGCUCACACAUCACCUUCUGAGAACCCUCCCUCCGGAUCCGCUCCCGCUCGUCUCUCCAUUUCCUGGUACUUGAAACCAAUACUUGACCACAGCGGUGCUGGGCAGGGCUCAGUUCUUGGGGUCUUUGGGUGCACCCGGAGAUACCAACGCAGCAACUCAAGGCCUGAACAAUGAUUUCUUUUUUCCUUUUUGUGCUUCCUAUGACAUGGUCGGAGACGAAGGCGUCGUUCCUUGAUGAUGGGCCAAAAAGAGGCGAGGGCAGCUCCCUGCUGUGCUGAUACUUGAGAUACCACGCUUGGUACAGGGUAAACACCGAGCGGUUUGCAAUGGAAACGAGAGGAGGAUCCUUCACUUAAAGGCACUGUAGUAACUUUAUGCUUGAAGCGGACUUCACCCUUCCUUUCUCUUCAGGCACAGCCCUGUGGUUGAAUAAAUGAAGUCCGAUGGACUUGGACUCGUGUGCGCGUGCCAAACUGCUGGAGCAAUACUUGGAGCAGCAGGUUCUGUACCAGCCCAGCUCUAUGUAGCCAAAACAGGGCCAACGCUGAAACCACCUGCGAUGCACAUUGAACAGCAGCCACGUUACGGUUCGACUGUACUGGAGUAGAAAAUCUGACUGCAAAGUCUGGAAACUGCAUUCUGUUGGCCCAAAGCCCCAGUCCUGCAAUGGGCUCUGCGUUGGGCUUUUGGGUUUUGUUUGGUGGGAUGGGGUGUUCUUGCUUCAACAGUUUCCAUUGUUUCAUGUCUUCUACACCAAUAUAUAUAUGGUGUAUAUAUUAAACCGUGUAAAGUUGUACUUUGUAUAUAUAACUGUACAAUAUGGAGGUACAUCCUUUUUUUUUUUCCCCCCCCUUUGGUACAGUAUUGUACAGUAUUUAGGAGUAUAUGUGUUGGAGAUGUUAAAUCCGUACUGGGGCUACGAACUGUAUUCAUUGUCAUUAGCAAUAGUUUUGGAGAAAUAAAUGUUUUGGGUAUGGUGGAAAUG